rnacentral:rRNA from 1 species
AUGCAAGUCGAACGGUGAUCUCUCUUCGGAGGGUGAUCAGUGGCGAACGGGUGAGUAACACGUGAGCAACCUGCCCCUGGCUCUGGGACAACCACUGGAAACGGUGGCUAAUACCGGAUACGACCCGCCAUCGCAUGGUGUGUGGGUGGAAAGUUUUUCGGCUGGGGAUGGGCUCGCGGCCUAUCAGCUUGUUGGUGGGGUGAUGGCCUACCAAGGCGACGACGGGUAGCCGGCCUGAGAGGGCGACCGGCCACACUGGGACUGAGACACGGCCCAGACUCCUACGGGAGGCAGCAGUGGGGAAUAUUGCACAAUGGGCGAAAGCCUGAUGCAGCGACGCCGCGUGAGGGAUGACGGCCUUCGGGUUGUAAACCUCUUUCAGCUCCGAAGAAGCGAAAGUGACGGUAGGAGCAGAAGAAGCACCGGCUAACUACGUGCCAGCAGCCGCGGUAAUACGUAGGGUGCAAGCGUUGUCCGGAAUUAUUGGGCGUAAAGAGCUCGUAGGCGGUGUGUCGCGUCUGCUGUGAAAACUCAGGGCUCAACUCUGAGCUUGCAGUGGGUACGGGCACACUAGAGUGCUGUAGGGGAGACUGGAAUUCCUGGUGUAGCGGUGAAAUGCGCAGAUAUCAGGAGGAACACCGGUGGCGAAGGCGGGUCUCUGGGCAGUUACUGACGCUGAGGAGCGAAAGCAUGGGGAGCGAACAGGAUUAGAUACCCUGGUAGUCCAUGCCGUAAACGUUGGGCGCUAGGUGUGGGGUCCAUUCCACGGAUUCCGUGCCGCAGCUAACGCAUUAAGCGCCCCGCCUGGGGAGUACGGCCGCAAGGCUAAAACUCAAAGGAAUUGACGGGGGCCCGCACAAGCGGCGGAGCAUGCGGAUUAAUUCGAUGCAACGCGAAGAACCUUACCAAGGCUUGACAUGCGCGGUGGAAUCCCAGAGAUGGGGUGUCAUUUAGUUGGUCGCGUACAGGUGGUGCAUGGUUGUCGUCAGCUCGUGUCGUGAGAUGUUGGGUUAAGUCCGCAACGAGSGCAACCCUCGUUCCAUGUUGCCAGCACGUAGUGGUGGGGACUCAUGGGAGACUGCCGGGGUCAACUCGGAGAAAGUGGGGAUGACGUCAAAUCAUCCWGCCCCUUAUGUCUUGGGCUUCMCSCAUGCUACAAUGGCCCRWU